UACGUAGGGGGCGAGCGUUGUCCGGAAUUACUGGGCGUAAAGCGCGCGCAGGCGGCCUAUUAAGUCAGGUGUUAAAAUGCGGAGCUUAACUCCGUAUCGCACUUGAAACUGGUAGGCUUGAGUGCAGGAGAGGGAAGUGGAAUUCCCAGUGUAGCGGUGAAAUGCGUAGAUAUUGGGAGGAACACCAGUGGCGAAGGCGACUUCCUGGACUGUAACUGACGCUCAGGCGCGAAAGCUAGGGGAGC
rnacentral:rRNA from 1 species